AAAAUAAAUAAAUAAAUAAAUAAUUUCUCUCUCUCCGUCUCUUGCCUCUGCUCUCCUCUGUGAUUGUAUCAUUCAUUAUCAGGUAGGCCUUUCCCUCAGAGGGGUAAAGAGGGCCCCCAGCAGUUCCAGCCUUAUCCCCAACCAACUAAACAUUUUUGGUGGAAAGAGAAUAUUUUCCAAUAGUUCCAGCUAAACUCCCACGGUUGAAUCUCACUGGUCCGGUGUGGGUCACGUGCCCAUCCUCUGGUCAAUCUCUAUGGUUACAGCAAUAGAAUUCAUGAUAACAAGCCCCUCCCUGGAGUCUGAGACUGUCAGCCUCACUAGAAUAGAAAUGGAAAUAGGUAGUUACUAUCCUCAGAAGGAGCCCUAGAUGCUGACAUUCAAAAAUAACAAAUGCCUACCACAGUGGGGCAUGUGAGAAGAAUAGGUGAGUUCUAUGACAUCUUGCACAGCAAGGCUGCCGUGACAGUUGCACAGGUUGUGCACUGCACAUCUCUACAGGGUCUCCAUUUAUAUUCACUAUCACCCUAUGUUUACAGAUUUAUCAUGAUAAAUUUCCAACAGACUGCAGUUAAACAUCUUCAGGAAGGGAAGUGUGAUCGACUGAAAAUGAAAAACAUGGUCGCAGUAUUUUGCAACUCUUCCUGUCAAGAGGUAGAGUCUAUUUCCUUACCCCUCAAAUCUGGGUGGCCUCGAGACUUGCUUUGACCAAUAGAAUAUGGUAGAAGUGACUCUACAAAUUUUGAGGCUAAGACUUAAGAGGCUUAGUUUCCACUCUGACCCUCCUGGCGUGCUGCCUGAGACUGCCCGAUAAGACUACCCCAUAAGAAGGCAAACAGCCCCCAGGAGGGUGAGAGGUCACGUGAAGGAGACCCAAGGUGCCCCAACCAACCAGCUCUGGACUGGAGGACCCAGGAAGAAACCGAGGCUUAACAAGGUUAAAGUCACCUGCCCAUAGCGUGUGGUGGACUUGGGAUUUGGACUCAGGGCUGCAGAAAAUAAAUAACCAGGUCGCCAUGGGUAGAGACGGGGUUUCACCGUGUUAACCAGGAUGGUCUUGA
rnacentral:lncRNA from 1 species